UCGUGAGACCUUUCGGCUUGCAAAAUGCAAGCUCAACCUUGAUCUGUUGGAUUUGGGGUCCACUUGUUACAGAGAAUCGUUUUCGCAAAUGGUCUCAGGGAUCCUUUGCCACAUCUAGAUAGGAGAUGUUCGAUCUAAGAACCGGAUCAAUCAUCAUCCUUAUCCAGGACAAGAGCAAUGCUUGGAUUAAACACCAAUCAUAAAGAUCUGGUGAACCUUCUGCCAGACGCGCAAUAGAUCCGUCAAGAAACCCAAACUUCUUAGGAGAAGUCAGAGCUUUUUUGAAACCACAGGCCCAUUCGUCAUAGCUGUUUCCGGUCAGAAGAGGAUGCGAGAUCACUGCACCAAACCUGUCUGCUGCUGUCAAAUGGUAAGGAAAUAUUGUACGAUGAACGGUCUCUCCUUGGGUAGUCGAUGUUGUUGGUGGUGUCACUCGAACAAGGGGAUAAUUCCUCGCCUGGGAAGCUUCAAGAACAUUGGCGUGUAGUGUGCGCUCUUCGAUAUCACAAUUUCUCUCUCCUUCAUCUUUUAAUGGCCUGUUUUUUUUUUCUGAAAAGAUUACAUUUGGACAUACUUUUUGACUUGCCAAUUACACAAUGACAUACUUUCUUCCGGGGACAUAUUUUUGCUAUGUAAAUUAACCUUUAUGCCCUUUCACUAAACCACUAACUCCUAUCAUUUUUAUUGUUUUAUUUUCAACAAAAUCACCAUUAUUUUUUUCAUCUUUUUUAACUCUAAUCUUUUUUUUUUCCUCAUAUCAUCUUCACUCCGUUCCGACACAAUAACCUUCAACAAUUCCACUAUAUUUUUACAUCUUAAAAAUAAUGGGCAAUUUUCUCAAAUAGAUUUUUUAAAGUUUUUGUCACAAAAAUAGCUUUAAAAAAAAAUGACCGAAAUAGCCACUUUUUAUUUUGAAUUUUUUAAUAUAUUUUUUAAAAAAUUUGAAACCGUAUCCAUAAAACCUCACCUCUUAACUAUAAAACCUAAGUUUAAUUAGUUAACCCUAUGGUAAAAAUACAUUUUUAUCAUUUAAUAAAACUUAUUUUGGUCAUUUUCUUCAUUGAAAACUAUUUAUUGAAAACUAUUUUUUUGACAAAAACUUAAAAAUGAUUAUUAUAGAGAAUUUCUCUAAAAUAAUUAAUGAACUUGCUUUAAUUGUUUUCUCUGCAAUAACUUUUGAAGUUCCUUUACUAAACUUAAAGCGUCCUUUCUUUCAAAUUUAUAAAUGCAUUCAAAGUUGUUCGACGUCUUGUUGUAUUUGUAUAAAGAAUGUGACUUUACACCUCGAUUGUUUGAUUUUCUGUUUAGAGACUAAUUUUGCUCUUGAUAGAAAUGUCAAAGAUACAACGGAGGAAGAGCUCGAGACGUUGGAGGAGAUGAAGAAGAAACGAAAACGCGUUUUUGGCCUUUUUAUUUUAACCCUUCUUUUCACAAUGAAAACCUUGAUCACAACACCUAUAACUCUGAACACACCAACUUUGACCAUAACCUCAGUUCUCAAAAUCAAAAUCCUGGUCACACCACCCACCAAUCUACUAUCCACGAAGUCUCAAACAUCCUAAUCGUUUUUUCUCUCAACCACAACCAUGAUCACAACACUUUUAAUCUUGACCACACCAACUCUGACCAUAAUCCUACUUCUCACAACCAAGAUCUGACCACACCACCCACCUAUCUGCUAUCAGCGAAGCCUCUGACCACAUGAUCACUCCCCCUAACCUUUUUUCUCUUAACCACUGACCACAUGAUCACUCCCCCUAACCUUUUUUUCUCUUAACCACAACCCUGACCACAACACUUUUAAUCCUCGCCACACCAAUACUGACCAUAACCUCUAUUCUUUCAUCAUUUCUUUUCGUUAGACUUAGAGGUAUUUUUGUCUAAAAAAUGACUUUCUCUUGCUAAAGUACACCUCUAGGUUAAAGUAUGCUAAUUAAUAUGUUAAAAGUAUUUCCCAAAGUGUAUUGCUCUCUUUUUUUCUCUUGCACUAGUAAUUUUUAAGUUCAGUCUUAAAAGUUACAAAAGUUGUAUAAAAGUUUUUUUUUUGUUGAUCAAUAAAAUUUAGCAUUUCAGCAAAAAAAUAAUACAAUUAAUAAAGAAGAAGACACAAACAUGAUUUUGACUUAUUAUAUCAGAAAUGAAUUUAGUUAAAAUUUUAGUCUAUUUUCAUAAAAGCUAUCAUAGUUCAUAAGCUCUAAACAUCUUGAGUACUGUUUUUCCUAAUUGGAAAUCAACUUCUCCUACACCACUGUAUUUAAAAAAAUUGUAUGUUAUUAAAUAUAUAUAUAUUUGAUGCGACACUCCUAGAUUGUAUUUUGUUCAUAAUAAAUCACAAAAACUCUAAAUUAUCUCUCCUCUUAUCCCUUUCAAAAGGCAUUACUGAAACAAACCUUAGAGCAUGAUUAUUGGGGGUUCUUAGAGUGGGGUUCAUAACAGAAUAUAAGAACUCGUCUCUUAAUUUUUAAUUAAAAAAGUUAAAAACCGGUUGUUAAAACUCUUAUUUAAGAACCGGUUCUUAGGACGGGUUCUUAUAUUCCAAUAAGAAUCCCCAAUAAUCAUGUUCUCCUUUCCUCAUCUUCUUUCUCUGCUCUCACAAUGUCGAUAUGCAUGUUCAUAAGAAUUUGUCGGGAUUUCAACAAAAGCUUUUCUUUUGCAAACAACAGUGACAUAUCUCGGUGUCCUUUUGACUAGCUGCAAGACUUACGGUCGGACUGACGCGUGGGGAGUCGGCUUUUAUGACUGAAGCCUUCAUCAGAUCUGAUAUUCUGUUUUUGUAGAUCUAUGAUGAUAGCUUUGCGGCGACGGAGAGACGCCUCCUCCACCAUAGAUCUACCAUCCCCAGCGGCGGUGAGACCAUCAGAGGAGAGGAUUAGUGGCCGGCGGAAAAGGGCCGUUUCUCUGGUUCUCAAAGACAAUACGCCAAAAGAUCUCACUAUGACUGAGUGGCCUACCGGAGCUGCGAGCCUUUUCAGAGACUCUUUGGUUUCGUGUCUGGCUAAGGAUCAAUGCAUUGAUCCCUUGGAAUUACGAGAAAAAUCCGGAAACACACCCUUGAUUUAGAAGCUGCUGGUACAUGAGUAACACUCAAAUCAAGAGGGAAACAAACAGCAUUGUAUGGAAAUUAGUCUCAAUUUAUCUUGUCAGUUUUUGUUUAGGUAAUGUCUUUGUAUCAUUUGGUCGAUUUAGGUGGUCUAAGAGACAUCCAUUGUGAAUUGUAGAGUGGAUUGUGCUUACAGUUGUGUAAAAGUGCAAUGAAGUUUAAGCUGGGUAUAGCAUAGGAUUAUUUCAUUAAAUCUAGUAGUUUGUUUUGUUGUUCUAGUAGUUGAGUCUCGUUUGAAAUUAAAAAAUCAUGUGUAAUACGUAUUGGUGAAUGCCUAAUGAAACAUUUGACA